rnacentral:rRNA from 1 species
AUUGAACGCUGGCGGCAUGCCUAACACAUGCAAGUCGAACGAGUGGCGGACGGGUGAGUAAUGUCUGGGCACAGGCCUGAUGGAGGGGUAUAACUACUGGAAACGGUAGCUAAUACCGCAUACCAUCGGAUGUGCCCAGAUAGGAUUAGCUAGUAGGUGGGGUAACGGCUCACCCAGGCGACGAGCCCUAGCUGGUUUGAGAGGAUGACCAGCCACACUGGAACUGAGACACGGGCCAGACGCCUACGGGAGGCAGCAGUGGGGAAUUUUGCACAAUGGGCGAAAGCCUGAUGCAGCCAUGCCGCGUGUAUGAAGAAGGCAUUCGGGUUGUAAAGUACUUUCAGCAGAAAGGCGUUACCCGCAGAAUAAGCACCGGCUAACUCCGUGCCAGCAGCCGCGGUAAUAC